CACUUACAGUCUUGUUCACUGCAGGUUAGACACACAUCACAGUAGCAGAGGUGUUACAAGUGUUGUAAGUCAGAAUUUUACGAAGCCAGGUUUUAUCCCAGCUAUAUCGAGGCAAGAUUUUCCCGGCGGUAAUUUCGUCAAGAUAAGAAGAAGAUGAGUGGAAGAGUCGGACAGUUUUCCCUGCUGUCCCUGCCAACCCUCCCAGGGAUUGAGAGGAAAGAGAAGAGAUUUGGAAAGUCAGUCGUAACUAGCAGUGGAUCUGUGAUAUCAGAGAAGUCCCAUGAUCGUGUUCUGGACAAACCCAGACCAGGAGGACAUCUGACCAUCCCAAAGGCGCCAGUGCCAACCAGGUGUUCUGCGGCCCCUCAAUCGCUCCUAGGGAUUGAGAGGAAAGAGAAGAGAUUUGGAAAGUCAAUCACAACGACUGGUGGAUCUGUGAUAUCAGAGAAGUCUCAAGAGUGUGUUCUGGCUAAACCCAGACCAGGAGGACUUGUACCCAUCCCACAGGCAGCCCUGCCAUCUGGGUGGUCUCCAGCCCACCCACCGCUCCCAGGGAUUGAGAGGAAAGAGAAGAGAUUCGUGAAGUCAGUCGCAAAGAGCGGUGGAUCUGUGACAUCAGAGAAGUCAGGACAGGAGUGUGUUAUGGAGAAACCCAGACCAGGAGGACUUAUACCCAUCCCGUCCCUGGACGCUCCGCAGACCCUGAAGAUGAAUCCCUCUGACAAUAUUAAUUCUGGAGAGAAGGAGAAGAAGGAGAAGCAGAAGGGGAAAGGAAUAAUGAAAGACAUCAAGGAGGAAACACGGGAGCUUGAAAAGGAAGUUACGAGGAACAUGAUGCAGGAAAUUGAGCAGUUUUCAGAAGAAAGUGUGGUCUCAGAGUGUUCAAAGUUUUCCUCAAAGGAAGUUGAGGAGGACAUUAAGAAGCUGCAGCCUGAGACUACAGAAGCUUUUCAGCUGAUGGACAAAAUCCAGCAGCAGCCCUCAGCUUUCAACGCAGGCAAAACCUACAGUGCUCCCAUUAAUGAGCAGCAGGAGAAAAGACCACCGACGCACGAUGAACUUGAGCACAUGCAGUCCGUUAUUGACAACCUCCAAAGCAAGCUUGAAGCAAAGAAAAAGUUUGCUUCCUCACUGCAGCAGACAGUCGGCCAGCUCAAUUCUGACCUGAAAGCAGAGAGAGCAAGAAACGAGGAACUCCAGAGUUCCUUGAAGGAAGCUGUCAGCCAGCAGCAGAAGGAAGCAGCGGACUUCGAGUUCAUGUCUCAGGCAAACCAAGAACUGGUAUCCGAAAUCAAUUUGCUGCAAAAUGAACUUGAGGCUGUCGAAAAACAGUGGCAGCUUGGUAAAAAACAGCUUCAGGAAGAUGCAGAGGCUCGCAGCAGACUUGAAGAGGCCCUUGAAAAGGAGAAGGCUCGUUACUCCCUAGCAUGUGAAAAGAUACAAAUGCAAAAGGAAGAGAGCGAGGAUCUCAGGGCUUCAUUUGAGGCAAUGGAGACAGAAUAUAAGAGACUAAAAUCUAAAUGCCACACUUUGUCUGAGUCCCAUGAAGAGGUGACGUCAAAGAAAAAUGACAGCAGACUUGAGGAGGCCAUUAAGAAGGAGCGUGCUGAAAAAGAGCUCCUGCAAGCGCAAGUGGCUGAUCUAAGGAAGUCACAAAAGGAUCUCCAGGAGACAAAAGACAGGCUGGAAGUCACAGUCACUGAAAUGACAGCUGAACAUGAAGAGCACAAGAAGGUGAUUGAGAAGCUUCAGUGGGAUCUGAAGGUCUCCUCGAGUAUGCUCAAAGAAGUAGCAGAGCGUGAGAGCGUGAGUCAUGCCGAAAUCAAUGCCCUUAAGAUACUCGUCAGUGAGCAGCAGGAGAAAAGUCAGCAGAAAGAUGAUGAAAUUGAAUCCAUGCGCUUCAAUAUUCAGGAUCUCAAAAGCAGAAUUGAAGCCAAGGACAACGUUGUUUCAUCACUGCAGGGCACAGUCGACCAGUACGCCUCUGACCUCAGAGACGAGAGAGCAAGAAAUUGUGACCUCCAGAGGGACUACGAGGCUGCUGUCUGCCAGCAGAAGAAGCAAGCAGAGGAACUGGAUCUCCUGACUCAGAAAAACCAGCAACUGGCUUCUGACAACAAAGGGCUGCAAGAUGAACAGCAGACGAAAGACAAGCUGAAAGCCACGAUCUCUGACAUGACAGCUGGUCUUAAGAAGUACGAGUCAGUGAUUGAGAAGCUCCAGAAGGACCUGGAGACGUCCUCUAGUCUGCACAAAGUAGCAGCAGAGCAUGAGGAGUUGCACCGUGCUGAAAUCAAGGCACUCAAGGAACUCAUCAGUCAGCAGCAGGAGAGAAGUCGGCAGAAAGAUGAUGAAAUUGAAUCCAUGCUCUCCGAUAUUCAGAAUCUUAAAAGCAGUAUUAAAACCAAGGAGAGCGAUUUUUCCUCCCUGCAGCAGACAGUCGACCAGUGCUCUUCUGACCUCAAAGACGAGAGGAAAAGAACAUACGACCUCCAGAGGGACUAUGAGGCUGCUCUCCGCCAGCAGAAGAAGGAGGCGGAAAUUCGCAGCGAACUUGAGGAGGCAAUCAAAAAGGAGAACGAUCGCUUCUCGAGAGCAUGUAACAAGAUAAAGCUGCAAAAGAAAGAGAUCACCGAUAUCAGAGCUCAGCUCAAGACAACGGAGACGGCAUACGAGAGAAUGAAAUCUGAACACUUCCUACACUCUGACAGCCACGAAGAGAUGGCAAGGCUAAACAGGACCAUCUCUGAGAGUCAAUCUACCAUCACUAAGCUUGUGAACAUGCUAGAUGAACUCAAAGUGGAGUCAGAGGCAAGACAGGGGAAACUUCUAGACAAGCUGAAACAGGAAAGGAAAAGAAACGCAGAGUUACAGCAGAAAGUUGAUGAGACUUCGGCUGCUCUGACAAAAGAGAAGACCAUGUGUGAGAAGCACCGUGUCGAGCUCAAGGAAUCUUUGACCAAACAGAUCGAGACUCUGGAGGAAAAGCAUCACUUUGCUCGGGCUCUUGAGAGAGUUCAGUGCAGCUUUUCCCAGUUUCAGGCGAAACAUCUGGCAAUGUCAAACUUUCAGUUUGGACACAUCAGUGACACUGAUUUCAGGCUCCACCAGCAAUACUGUAGCAAUAUACCGCAGUAGUGAUACACUGAUGAUGAGAAAGCAGUGUGACAUUUAUAAGAAACAUCCUUAGUACUAACCCUUAACCAUUGUGGGUUCUCUCCGGGUGCUCCGGCUUCCUCCCACUGUCCAAAGACACACCAAAAAAGUAAGGUUAAUCGGUUAGUCUAAAAAUGUCACAUUGCUCUCCAGAUCACAGUAGCUUGUCCCUGAACUCCUGAGCCCUAACCCUUAACCAUUGUGGGUUCUCUCCGGGUGCUCCAGCUUCCUCCCACUGUCCAAAGACACACCAAAAAAGUAAGGUUAAUCGGGUAGUCUAAAUAUUCUGUAGUUGUAACCCUACUUAAAGUCCCUGAACCCUAACCCCGUUACCCGACUUAAGCUCUUGGUCAUCUCCUUAAAAUUACAGAUUAGAUUGUAAACAUUGUUCUGUUCUGUGCUUACAGCAUCUGUCAUGCCGGUCCGUCCUGGGAGAGGGAUCCCUCCUCUGAUGCUCUUCCUGAGGUUUCUCCCUUUUUUUCUUUGUGGAGUUUUUCCUCAUCCGAGUCGAGGGUCUAAGGACCAAGGGUGAUGAGCAAUGCAUGUUUUUCACCACAGGGAGGCGCUAUUUACUACUCUAUCAGAAGACUGUGUAUAUAGAGCUGAUACCAAAGAUAUGAAUGAAUCCAUGUAGAUACUUCCCGGUCAGUCUGUCCAGUAUAUCCUGAACUUGAAUGUGAACAGAAGAGCAGACAGUCGCACUAACACUUCACUGAGCCGCCUCAUGACAGAUCCCGUGUUGGUAUCGAGCGACCGCACCCGAGGCCCGGAUUUCAUGUGGAUGGAAGGGAGAGUCUGCAAACCGCAGGAUCAGAUGCUCCACAGCCUCCUGUAGGUGGCAAUCUCCAUCUCCAGGUUCUGUUUGAUGCGCAGCAGCUGCUCGUAGUCGGUCUUGUUCCGUUGCAUGUCCAAACGCAGCUGAGACAGC